rnacentral:misc_RNA from 1 species
GAUGAAGAACGCAGCGAAAUGCGAUACGUAAUGUGAAUUGCAGAAUUCAGUGAAUCAUCGAAUCUUUGAACGCAUAUUGCGCUCUCUGGUAUUCCGGAGAGCAUGCUUGUUUGAGUAUCAGUAAACACCUCAACUUCCAUAUCUUUUUUUGAAAUGGGAGUUGGACUUGAGUGAUCCCAACGCUUUUCCUCACCGAAAAGUGGCGGGUUACUUGAAAUGCAGGUGCAGCUGGACUUUUCUCUGAGCUAUAAGCAUAUCUAUUUAGUCUGCCUAAAAAACAGAUUAUUACCUUUGCUGCAGCUAACAUAAAGGAGAUUAGUUCUUGUGCUGACUGAUGCAGGAUUCACAAAGACGGCUUCGGCCGACUUUGUAAACUCGAUCUCAAAUCAAGUAAGACUACCCGCUGAACUUAAGCAUAUCAAUAAGCGGAGGA